rnacentral:rRNA from 1 species
UACGUAGGGGCAAGCGUUGUCCGGAAUCAUUGGGCGUAAAGCGCGUGUAGGCGGCCCGGUAAGUCCGCUGUGAAAGUCGGGGGCUCAACCCUCGGAUGCCGGUGGAUACUGUCGGGCUAGAGUGCGGGAGAGGCGAGUGGAAUUCCUGGUGUAGCGGUGAAAUGCGCAGAUAUCAGGAGGAACACCGGUGGCGAAGGCGGUUCUCUGGGCAUGUCCUGACGCUGGAGGAGCGAAAGUGUGGGGAGCGAA